rnacentral:piRNA from 1 species
UGGAGAGGUCAUGAAUCUUUCAGGGUUCAGC